GAUGAACGCUGGCGGCGUGCCUAAUACAUGCAAGUCGAGCGAACGGACGAGAAGCUUGCUUCUCUGAUGUUAGCGGCGGACGGGUGAGUAACACGUGGAUAUCCUACCUAUAAGACUGGGAUAACUUCGGGAAACCGGAGCUAAUACCGGAUAAUAUUUUGAACCGCAUGGUUCAAAAGUGAAAGACGGUCUUGCUGUCACUUAUAGAUGGAUCCGCGCUGCAUUAGCUAGUUGGUAAGGUAACGGCUUACCAAGGCAACGAUGCAUAGCCGACCUGAGAGGGUGAUCGGCCACACUGGAACUGAGACACGGUCCAGACUCCUACGGGAGGCAGCAGUAGGGAAUCUUCCGCAAUGGGCGAAAGCCUGACGGAGCAACGCCGCGUGAGUGAUGAAGGUCUUCGGAUCGUAAAACUCUGUUAUUAGGGAAGAACAUAUGUGUAAGUAACUGUGCACAUCUUGACGGUACCUAAUCAGAAAGCCACGGCUAACUACGUG
rnacentral:rRNA from 1 species